AAGUGCGACCAAAGCCGACAGCGACUGGUGUCGAGGAAGAAGGGGGUCGUUUCAGGCUGUGACAUGGAAGCAGUUUUCUCGAGGAGGAAAGACGAGUUUUACAGACCGUUUGGUGACCGCGCCUCAGCUCUGCCCAGCGUUCACUCUACAAUUGCAGUGAGCACCUGUUAUGUGCAGCGAUCACAGAGAUGAGACCGACCAGAGCCUUACUGUCGAGGAACUGGACAAACAAGAACCCACAGAGGCCCCAGGCUGCUAAAAUACAUCCCAGAGGUCGACAAUCCAGGAGGUGCUUAGCAAAGGACAAGCCAGAGACACGCGGAGCUCAUCAGGCUCUGAGCGCCUGGCUUCCCAGGAAGGUGUCCAGGCUGCCACAGUCCCCCUGCCUAGAGGGCUUCGGGGGCACCGAGGACACGUGCCGAUUGUACCAGGUGAGCCCUGGGGAGGCAGGAGGAGAGCCGCAGGAGGCACAGUGGUCCGCACCCCGUUUCUUCCCCGCUGCGCACAGACCGGCCUGCUGGUCCUGACUCGGAUGGCUUCCCGGACCAGCUCCCUGGCAGUUGGAAGGCUGGGCAGACUCCCACGCGGUCCAGUCCCCACGCGCCCCCUGCCUUCCCUGGGCCCUAGAGCAGGGAGCUCACAGCGCAGAGGAUGAGACGGCGGUCUGUUGUCCCAGCGCGUGGCAGGGCCACGCAGCUCUGUUAUCUCAGUUUCUGAGGGUCGGGGAUCCAGCCAAGACCGGCUGGGGCUUCUGCCUCGAGGUCUUGCGAGGCUGUACCCGGGUGUCGGCGGGGACUGUGGCCCGUGCACAGGCUCCACCUGGAGGGUCCAGGCUCACUCACGUUGGCGGGAUUCGGCUCCUCACGAGCUACUAGGGGAACGUCAUCCUUUUCUCCAUGUUGCCGGAGGGCUCAAUCCGUUGGCCACGUGGGCCUCUUCAGAGCGCACCUCCCCGGGGGGACAGGCCCCCCGUGACCCCCGUCUGCAAUGGCAGCUUGUCCCUCUGUGCUGUUAGAUUCUGCUCACCCUGGGGGGCCUCGCAGGGUGCUCAUUCAGUGGGGGCCCCUGGGGGCCAAACCCCCGCCCCACUCUGUGCUCUUCCUACCAUCCCCCAGGCCUGGGUCUCCAGAGAUGGUCAUACUGUGUCCAGUGUGACAAUUGUGUGUUUUUCUCUCGUUUUAGAAACUGUAGCCUGGGCUGUCGCACCCUGAGAUAGAUGUACCCAGAGAGUUGUAGGGUGCGCUGUGGACACUGUUCUGUCCAUGCCGCCCCUGCGUCAGCCCUCCCCGGGCCUCUGCUUACUAGGUUUUCCCGCCUCCUCCGGGAGACAGAGCCGCUUUCCUUAAGCUCAGGAGCUGUUUGCAUUUUUAUCAGAGCAGGAUCAGGCCCCCAGUCUCCGCGGAGUGGAGGAGCAACAGGGGAAAUCCGAGAAGGAAGCAUAGGGGCCCGCACAAGCCACACAGUCAAGGCUUGAACCACAGCUAAAUCUCGGUGUUGGUGAGAGCCUGGGAAGAGCCUCCGCCAAGGCCUGGGCGCCCCGGGUGCCCCAGGAGGCCGAGCCAGAGGGGCUGGGUGAGGCAGGGCGGCCCCAGCCGCAUGGUGUCCCGAAGCUGCAUGGUGUCCCUGUCUGGUGUCCCCUGCCCAGGGCCCGCCAGGAGCUGGCACCUCAUGCUGUUUUUCUGUUUGUGGGCUGUGUAAGUUAAAAAGGACUGGCUCUUUCUUUACCGGCAAACCUGCCAACCUUGACUGCCCUGGCUUGACAAGAUGGAAGGAAAGGGGGAGGGAAGGCGGGAAGAAGGGCCCCAGGCCCCGCCCCUCGCCACCCCUCCCCUGGGCCAGCCCUGGGUCCUGCUUAUCCUCCCGGGCUCCAUCCAGCCCCUUGGCAUUUGACCACUCCACUCUGGGGACACUGUGCCCCAGCACUGACCCCUGGAGACACUCGGGCAAGGGGAGCCAGGCUCAGUCCCGGACCGGAGCAGCCCUCAGGUGGGCCAGCACUGGGAGCAAAAAGGAGAGGACUCAGCCCCUUUUUCCUCGACACGUUAUGGAAAUUUGCAAGCACAAAGUGGAAGGGAUUUUUCACUACACACCUGCACGCCCACUGCCGAUGAUCCCACUCACGUUUUACUAGACUGUUAUAUCUAGGCAACCAUCUUUUAAUUCAUUUUAUUUUUGAUGCAUUCAAAAUCAAUUUUAGCCUCAAAUGUGCUUGCCCCUACAUACUUAAGCAUGUACAUUAACUAGAGUUCAUUAGUGAUAGUCUUUUAAUAUAAAACAAUGAAAUGCCCGGCUUGUAAGUGAACAUUCACUCUUUUGACAAGUGUAUGCAUUCUUGUAACUCAGACCCUUAUCGAGAUACUGAGUGUUCCCAUUACCCCAGACUGGUUGACCCCCAGUCCACUCAGAGGCAACCACUCUGUGACCUCCUUGUGAUACUGGCACAAAGGUACUAAGUGAAGUCGCUCAGCCCUGCUCGCCUCUUUGUGAUCCCGUGGACUGUAGCCCACCAGUCUCCUCGUCCAUGGAAUUUUCCAGGCGAGAGUACUGGAGUGGGUUGCCAUUUUCUUCUCCAGGGGAUCUUCCCAACCCAGGGAUUGAACUCAGGUCUUCCCCAUUGCACGCAGAUGGUUUACCAUCUGAGCUACCACAGAUUUAAUACUGGAGCCUAAAGCAAAAGGGAAUUAUUUUUAAUGGCUAAUAUUUUUUUUCCCAGAACACCGAAGUAGUUAACAACCUGUUGAAAAAUGAAAAGUAGAUAUAUCAAAAUAGUUUAUUUAUACAAAAACCAACCAAUAAUCUUGCUUUCCUGGUUUUAGUGGAAAUGAACUCAUCAAUAUUUCCGAAGUCUACUACUUACCUUGUUUUGAAAGGAGAGAAUUGCCAUGCUAAUUUCUUUUGAUGAAGUGAUCUUAAUUUUUCAUUUACUGCAGCUUACUGAAGUGUCUUAUAGGAUGACAUGGUGACUGGGAAUGCUAACAACCUUCUCAAGGCCAUGUUCAAAUUGGAAAGUAUUGCACUAAACAAAUUUGUGAAUCAGCCUUAGAAGAUGCAAACACUAUUUAAUAACUGAUGCUGCAUGCUGCUUAAAACUAUAUCAGAUGGAUAUAUAGGAUUUAGGAUAUUUGAGUCAAGUAAGUGACUGCUUUGUGUAAGAGUUAUCCGUAGAAAACUUUUCUCCAUUUAAAAAUUCAAAAUGUAAGACACUUUUUCAUAUAAUCAUUUACAAUGUGAAAAUUAAGGCAUCUAUAGUUUCUUUAAUUUCUAUUUGAUAUGCAGUUUUAUAAUAAUUGACACUCAUCUAGUGAUUCAUUUCCAAUUUUUAUACUUUAAUUUUAAAAUUCAAGUGCAGCAUUGGUAAGAUAGUGGUGAGCAUAGCUGCCUUUCAUAAAGUUCAAACAGUAGCCCAUAUCUUUUGCUAAGAUUUCACAUUAAUCAAACAUUGAAAGUUUCUGUUAUUUCUAAGCAAAGGUAAAGGCCUUCUGCUAAGAGUACAACAAUGUAUAGUCUUUUUUUUUAAUUGUAUAAACAUUAACUUUUACACUGGUUUAUAAUAACAUCCUACACAGAUUGUAUAAAAUAAUGCAUUUGUGCCAAGAUGCUUUUGAUGUAUGCUUUUCAUUUAAUAUAUAUUUCAGUAUAAGUGCCUUUGUAUAUGAAAUACCUUGUUUACAUUUAAUCUUGAUCCUCACGGGAUAUCUGGAUGUGUUUUUAAUGUAGAUUUUAGAACAGACAUAAGAAUAUCCCAUCUGUGCAUCCAUUUUUAAAACUUCACACACAAAAUAUAUAUGUAUAUUAUAUGUAUCCAUAUACAUAUAUAUAAAUGCUAAAAAAUGGUUAACAUUUGAUUUCCCAGGGCAGCAUUUAUGCAUAUUUUUAUGAGCUGAGGAAGCACAAAUUUGGCAUAAUCAUAUUUGGGGGCAAAAUGUCUUAUAAACUCUUGUAUAACAGGCUAUAUUUUCUCCAUUAGACUAUACCUGGCCACAGGCAUUUUAAAUUUUAUUUCCAACCUCUAAUUUCAUAAGCUAGACUUAGAAAGUUUCAUCUUUCAUUUCAAUGAAGUCAGUACAACUUACUUUAUUGUUAUGACAUUGUUCUUCAUGUGAGCAGAUCUCGUGGUCAGACAUGCUUGUUCACGAUGGGCUACAUCUUGUGUACAAGCAAAAAAUAAAAAGUACUUGCUCCAUUAUUGACA
rnacentral:lncRNA from 1 species